rnacentral:rRNA from 1 species
AGCUGAUAUGUCUGGGAACUGCCUGAUGGAGGGGGAUAACUACUGGAAACGGUAGCUAAUACCGCAUAACGUCGCAAGACCAAAGAGGGGGACCUUCGGGCCUCUUGCCAUCGGAUGUGCCCAGAUGGGAUUAGCUAGUAGGUGGGGUAACGGCUCACCUAGGCGACGAUCCCUAGCUGGUCUGAAAGGAUGACCAGCCACACUGGAACUGAGACACGGUCCAGACUCCUACGGGAGGCAGCAGUGGGGAAUAUUGCACAAUGGGCGCAAGCCUGAUGCAGCCAUGCCGCGUGUAUGAAGAAGGCCUUCGGGUUGUAAAGUACUUUCAGCGGGGAGGAAGGGAGUAAAGUUAAUACCUUUGCUCAUUGACGUUACCCGCAGAAGAAGCACCGGCUAACUCCGUGGCAGCAGCCGCGGUAAUACGGAGGGUGCAAGCGUUAAUCGGAGUUGCUGGGCGUAAAGCGCACGCAGGCGGUUUGUUAAGUCAGAUGUGAAAUCCUCCGGGCUAAAGUCAGAUGUGAAAUCCCCCGGGCUAGUCC